CCUGUGCGGCCGCACUCCACACCCUUCUCUCUCUCUCGUCCCUCCCCAACCCCUCAGAUCCACCUCCACCACUGGAGCCGCGCGUGAGCCGGCGUCCUCCUCCACCGCCGGCUCUCUCUCUCCCCACCCCCUCAGAUCCCCCAAUGUCCCCCGCGCAGCACGCGCCGCCGCUUGUCGCCGGCUUCCUCACGCCGGCACCGGUGCCAGCGCUCGUUCGUGAGCUGGCGUCGACGCCGCCGCCCGUGCCUGACGACGGCCUGUGGUGGUAGCUGUGCGUGGAGGAUGGAUCCGGCGACGGCCUCCUCACCCUCAAGGACUCGCUCAUCGAUGGAUCUGCGUCAAUCUACAUCUCCUACCUCGGGUUCUGCAUCCGACAUCUCCGGCGGCUCCCCGCUUCUCUGUCCAAGAUCCAUGCCCUGCAUCCUCGUCCCCCUCUUCCCACCGUCAUCUCCACUCUUCGCAAUCCUCUCCUCUGUCUGCUUCUCGUCGAUUUCGUGCAGACCCUAAUCCCCUUCCUCUUUCUUGUUUUUUGAUUUGUUCUUAGGGUUAGGGUACUGAACCAUGCUCGCGUGCGCAGCUGCAGGAUCUCGAUGAGGUGAAGCGCUACCUCAAGGAGAUGGAGGAGCCCGCCACGCUCCGCGAGAUGCAGGCCAUGGUCGCCUAGGAGAUGCAAGUGGCUGCUGGUGAGGGGUUUCUGCUACCUGUAGAGCCGAAAGUAUUAGCGAGUUACAGGAGUCGGUGCUGAUUACACUGCUGAGGGAGAGAAGUACAAAGAUCAAGAACAAGUGCAUCGAAUUUGUUUGAGUGCCUCUACAGGAAAAAGAGAAAUGAUGCACGUUAUGUACAUAUUGCCAUUGCAUAUUAGCUUUCAAAUAUAGCUUAUAGCAAUUCUGGAUGAAUUUUUUUAUGUGAUUUAAUGUUGUAUGUGAUUAAAUGCUCGAUCAAAAUUUAUUUAUGUGAUGAGAUGUUAAUUUCUUGUUGAUA